rnacentral:lncRNA from 1 species
CCAAAAUAAACUUUAGCCAUAAUACCCAUUCCCUUCCACUCACCAUUUCUCCUACAUACCAAGGAACUAAGUGCAGAGCUACACCCACAGAAGUUCAGCUAUACCACACGGACAUCCCUAUCACUUCACUCAUUCUGAAAAUUUUCAUUUGCUCACCAAGAUCAUUUCGACAGAAUCCAGCACACAAGUAAGAUUUCUAAAUCAGUUUCUUUACAUUCUUCCCUAUGAAUAAGAGCCUUCAUUUAAAUGGUAUUCAUAUCUAUGAACCUUCUUUUCCAGCAAACAAACAGGAUCAACACUCACUGAAAUUUCUCACAAGG